UCCGGUGGCGAUGCGCCUGGGGGAAACACCCGUCCACAUCCCGAACACGAUGGUUAAGACCCAAGCGGCCCAUGGUACUAUGCUGGAGACGGCAUGGGAGAGCAGGUGGCUGCCGGAU
rfam:Eubacterium ventriosum ATCC 27560 Scfld025 genomic scaffold, whole genome shotgun sequence.